GAAGCUCUGGCCUGUGCGUGUAUGAGGAACACGGGGUUUGAACCGACACUUCAAACCGAGGGAGCUCGACUCAAGAGGCCAUAUGCCGGCCGUUAUGGCCGACAGAAAGACGUUCUUGGCGGCUCCCACUUAAGAGAUGCGGGUUCUCGAUAUCCUACUCCUCUCACGGCAGGUUGGAGCUUUU
rnacentral:other from 1 species